rnacentral:rRNA from 1 species
AUUGAACGCUGGCGGCAUGCCUUACACAUGCAAGUCGAACGGUAACAGGUCUUCGGAUGCUGACGAGUGGCGAACGGGUGAGUAAUGCAUCGGAACGUGCCCAGUAGUGGGGGAUAGCCCGGCGAAAGCCGGAUUAAUACCGCAUACGACCUGAGGGUGAAAGGGGGGGAUCGCAAGACCUCUCGCUAUUAGAGCGGCCGAUGUCAGAUUAGCUAGUUGGUGGGGUAAAGGCCUACCAAGGCAACGAUCUGUAGUUGGUCUGAGAGGACGACCAGCCACGCUGGGACUGAGACACGGCCCAGAAUCCUACGGGAGGCAGCAGUGGGGAAUUGUGGACAAUGGGCGCAAGCCUGAUCCAGCAAUGCCGCGUGCAGGAAGAAGGCCUUCGGGUUGUAAACUGCUUUUGUCAGGGAAGAAAUCUUCUGGGUUAAUACCUCGGGAGGAUGACGGUACCUGAAGAAUAAGCACCGGCUAACUACGUGCCAGCCGCCGCAGUAA